rnacentral:snoRNA from 1 species
GGUUCGAUGCCACGUCGGCGGUAGCUAAAGGUGCAAUGACCGACGAUGCUAUGAUUGAACCGAUAUCAAGUUUCGCAUUUUAUAGGAACCUGUGAACUGAUAUGUUUUCGUUCAUUCACAGAGCCGGUUUUUGUGAUUACAUUUUGAUUUUCAAAACUGUUGUUUAAUUGAUUGAAAAAAGUUGAAAGCCAAUGAUGAUGUAAAUAUAAAAUGUUGGAAUUACCGACUGAUUUCAUUUUGAUGAUAACUAGGCUGCCUGAGGCUUUUU